rnacentral:lncRNA from 1 species
UUGUACCUGUUCAAACUUAAAAUAGAGCAAUUAUACUUAAUACUAUUCAAUUCCAACAUUCUUCGACUCCCUGGUAACCACUUAAUCUUAACUAUCUUUUGAUUUUCUAUAGAAGAAUCACAGUUUAUAUCAAAGAAAGAAUCUAGAAACACACACACACACACCAAUACAGUUUCACAUAAAACUAAAAGAUGUAUACUUCUAUAUAUCUGAUUAACAAAGCUUAUUCUCAAAUUCACAAAGCACAAAAUACACUGUGCCUCAAAACAGAAGCACUGCAAGGCCAAUAACACACACAUAGUAACGACCAGCAGGCACCGGAAGAAGCAUAUACAGGGACCAAAAAAACACCCAAAAAGAAAGUAAUAGCAGGCCUCUUCGACGAACAACAACAAGAACAACAAAAUUGAGAAAGUUGCUAGUUACAAUACCUAAUCAUAAAGGACGACAUCCUAGUAGCGAUGUCAACACAGCUGUAAUAUAUGGCAACCACAAACAAACCAAAACUACCCAUUCUCAAUACAUACCACAAACACCAACCACACACN